CUGUCUUGGGAACGUGGCUCACUGUUCCGUCCCUUGUAGAGUUUUCUACUGGAUCUUUGGAGCACGCCUUGCUCAACCAAAACAGCCUGCCUUUCAAGAACCUUUCAUAAUUCUCUGUGGAGAACUCAGAGGCGUCCUUUCACACAAGAUGUCAAUGACAGGCACAGCUGAUGCAUGCUGGAUACUGCAAAGCAAGGACGUUCUCCUCAAAAGGUCUCAGCUCACCACCCAUCGGGCCACACUAACCCACAGAAGAGAUAGCAGGGUGUUGGGAACCAGGAAGAAGGUCAAAGAAUCAGAAGAAAAUACCCAAGAUGAGAGGAGAAGAUGCCUCUGGAAGUGGACUUCAAAUAUCCUGUAGUGUAAGAGGCUGGCCCUCCAAUGGCAAUGUGAUCUCAGUUCUUCUAGCUUACUCUCACCAAUGUAUGCUCCUUCAUCAUGGAGAUGUCUGUCUUGAGUCCCUGCAUGGGUCUCCUCUCAAGGACAAUAUGCUCACUCAG